UACGUAGGGGGCGAGCGUUGUCCGGAGUUACUGGGCGUAAAGCGCACGCAGGCGGUCUGCUAAGUUUGGAGUGACAGUUGGUGGCUUAACUGCCAAAGUGCUUCGAAAACUGACAGACUUGAGGGCUUCAGAGGGACACGGAAUUCCGGGUGGAGUGGUGAAAUGCGUAGAGAUCCGGAGGAACACCAACGGCGUAGGCAGCGCCCUAGACAAGACCUGACGCUCAGGCACGAAAGCGCGGGGAGUGAACAGG
rnacentral:rRNA from 1 species